rnacentral:rRNA from 1 species
CUGCUAUCGGAUUGAUACUAAGCCAUGCGAGUCUUUGUAGUAAUACAAGGCAGACGGCUCAGUAACACGUAGUCAACCUACCCUAUGGACAAGAAUAAUCUCGGGAAACUGGGCAUAAUUCUUGAUAGAUCAUAAUGCCUGGAAUGGUUUAUGGUUAAAAUGAUUCGUCGCCAUAGGAUGGGACUGCGGCCUAUCAGCUUGUUGGUGAGGUAAUGGCCCACCAAGGCGAUUACAGGUACGGGCUCUGAGAGGAGAAGCCCGGAGAUGGGUACUGAGACACGGACCCAGGCCCUAUGGGGCGCAGCAGGCGAGAAAACUUUGCAAUGUGCGAAAGCACGACAAGGUUAAUCCGAGUGAUUUCUGCUAAAGAAAUCUUUUGCCAGUCAUAAAACCACUGGUGAAUAAGGGGUGGGCAAGUUCUGGUGUCAGCCGCCGCGGUAAAACCAGCACCUCAAGUGGUCAGGAUGAUUAUUGGGCCUAAAGCAUCCGUAGCCGGCUUUGUAAGUUUUCGGUUAAAUCCAUGUGCUCAACGCAUGGGCUGCCGAAAAUACUGCAUGGCUAGGGAGUGGGAGAGGUAGACGGUACUCAGUAGGAAGGGGUAAAAUCCUUUGAUCUAUUGAUGACCACCUGUGGCGAAGGCGGUCUACCAGAACACGUUCGACGGUGAGGGAUGAAAGCUGGGGGAGCAAACCGGAUUAGAUACCCGGGUAGUCCCAGCUGUAAACGAUGCAGACUCGAUGAUGCAUUGGCAUAAUAGCCAGUGCAGUGUCGCAGGGAAGCCGUUAAGUCUGCCGCCUGGGAAGUACGUACGCAAGUAUGAAACUUAAAGGAAUUGGCGGGGAGCACCACAAGGGGUGAAGCCUGCGGUUCA